GGCCUAACACAUGCAAGUCGAGGGGCAGCAUGGUCUUAGCUUGCUAAGACUGAUGGCGACCGGCGCACGGGUGCGUAACGCGUAUGCAACUUGCCUCACAGAGGGGGAUAACCCGUCGAAAGACGGACUAAUACCGCGUACACUCUAUGUUGGGCAUCCAAUGUAGAGGAAAUGAACUUCGCUGUGAGAUAGGCAUGCGUCCCAUUAGCUAGUUGGUGAGGUAACGGCUCACCAAGGCGACGAUGGGUAGGGGAACUGAGAGGUUGAACCCCCACACUGGUACUGAGACACGGACCAGACUCCUACGGGAGGCAGCAGUGAGGAAUAUUGGUCAAUGGGCGAGAGCCUGAACCAGCCAAGUCGCGUGAAGGAUGACUGUCUUAUGGAUUGUAAACUUCUUUUAUACGGGAAUAACAAGAGUCACGUGUGGCUCCCUGCAUGUACCGUAUGAAUAAGCAUCGGCUAA
rnacentral:rRNA from 1 species